AAAGCGCACGCAGGCGGUCUGUUAAGUCAGAUGUGAAAUCCCCGGGCUUAACCUGGGAACUGCAUUUGAAACUGGCAGGCUUGAGUCUUGUAGAGGGGGGUAGAAUUCCAGGUGUAGCGGUGAAAUGCGUAGAGAUCUGGAGGAAUACCGGUGGCGAAGGCGGCCCCCUGGACAAAGACUGACGCUCAGGUGCGAAAGCGUGGGGAGCAAACAGGAUUAGAUACCCGGGU
rnacentral:rRNA from 1 species